rnacentral:sRNA from 1 species
GUCGUGAGAUGUUGGGUUAAGUCCCGCAACGAGCGCAACCCUUGUCUCAUGUUGCCAGCGCGUUAUGGCGGGGACUCGUGAGAGACUGCCGGGGUCAACUCGGAGGAAGGUGGGGAUGACGUCAAGUCAUCAUGCCCCUUAUGUCCAGGGCUUCACACAUGCUACAAUGGCCGGUACAAAGGGCUGCGAUGCCGCGAGGUGGAGCGAAUCCUUUCAAAGCCGGUCUCAGUUCGGAUCGGGGUCUGCAACUCGACCCCGUGAAGUCGGAGUCGCUAGUAAUCGCAGAUCAGCAACGCUGCGGUGAAUACGUUCCCGGGCCUUGUACACACCGCCCGUCACGUCAUGAAAGUCGGUAACACCCGAAGCCGGUGGCCUAACCCCUUGUGGGAGGGAGCCGUCGAAGGUGGGAUCGGCGAUUGGGACGAAGUCGUAACAAGGUAGCCGUACCGGAAGGUGCGGCUGGAUCACCUCCUUUCUAAGGAGCACCACGAGACUCAGGCCCGCCCACAUCGCGUGGGGGUUCGGGAUUGCUGGGCGAUUCGUUGGAUGGGCCGCACCUGUAGUGGGUGUGGUUCUGGUGCACGACAAACAUGCCGGCCCCCGGGACGUCUUCGUCAGAGGGCGUGGGGCGGCGAGGGAAUCAUCAGACACACUAUUGGGCUUUGAGACAACAGGCCCGUCACCUCUUUGCCCUGUCGUUGGGGGAACCGGGGGUGAUUGCGCCCCCGGUGGGGGUGGGUUUGGUUGUCGCUCCGCUUUGGUGGUGGGGUGUGGUGUUUGAUUUGUGGAUAGUGGUUGCGAGCAUCUAGCGCGCAUGGUGGUCAUCACCCUGGUGGGGUGGUGGUUUUCUGUGUGUGUUGAUGUGCAAUUUCAAAGUUUGUAUAACUUUUGGUUUUGUGUUGUAAGUGUUUAAGGGCGCAUGGUGGAUGCCUUGGCACUGGGAGCCGAUGAAGGACGUGGGAGGCUGCGUUAUGCCUCGGGGAGCUGUCAACCGAGCGUGGAUCCGAGGAUGU